CGAGCACGCGCGUGUGGCAUAUCAAUAAGCGGAGGAAAAGAAACUAACAAGGAUUCCCCUAGUAACGGCGAGUGAAGCGGGAAGAGCUCAAAUUUGAAAUCUUAAAGGGUUUCCCUUUACGAAUUGUAGUUUAAAGAAGUGUUUUCUGUCGGAGUUUCGGUAAAAGUUCUUUGGAAUAGGACAUCAUAGAGGGUGAGAAUCCCGUAUUUGACCGUUACUUUCCAGCUGUGUGAUACACUUUCAAAGAGUCGGAUUGUUUGGGAAUGCAGUCCAAAAUGGGUGGUGAAUUUCAUCUAAAGCUAAAUAUUGGCGAGAGACCGAUAGCGAACAAGUACCGUGAGGGAAAGAUGAAAAGAACUUUGAAAAGAGAGUUAAACAGUACGUGAAAUUGUCAAAAGGGAAGCGUUUGACACCAGUGUUGUUUUCUCGAAAAUCAAUUAAGAAUGUUUUGUUUUUAAGAAGUUAUGACUUCAUCGGCUUGCUUCUUUCUUUACGAAACUUUCUUAAUGCACUUUUCGGUUAACAAGUCAACAUCAAUUUCUUUUGUUGUAAAAGGGUAUGAGGAAGGUGGCUUUCUUUUCGGAGAAAGUGUUUAUAGCCUUGUGCCUCUGCAAUCGGAGAGAUUGAGGUCUGCAGCGUAGAUCCUUCGGGGUUAGAUACGUUUGUGCUAAGUUAUAGCUUUUCAUAGACAACUUGUUGACUAUGUUUAGUCUUGUAGCUUACUCGCUGACGCUAUUUUACCUACGCUUAGGAUGUUGAACUCUAUCACACACA
rnacentral:rRNA from 1 species